rnacentral:rRNA from 1 species
CGGUAAUUCCAGCUCCAAUAGCGUAUACUAAAGUUGUUGCAGUUAAAAAGCUCGUAGUUGGAUUUCUGCGGGGACGGAGCGGCCGGUCGCAACUUGCGACUCGAGCUAGCGCUUUCCCCGCAUCCUGCCGCGAACCGUGCUACCAUUAGUUGGUGGCGCUGGGGAUCGGCUCGAUUACUUUGAGAAAAAUAGAGUGUUCAAAGCAGGCCACACGCCUUGAAUAAGUUAGCAUGGAAUAAUGACUAAGGACUUCGGUUCUAUUUUGUUGGUGUUCGGGACUGAAGUAAUGAUUGAUAGGGACAGUUGGGGCGGUCUGUAUUCCAAAGCGAGAGGUGAAAUUCUUAGACCUUCGGAAGACAAACAGCUGCGAAAGCGUUCCGCAAGGAUGUUCCCUUUGAUCAAGAACGAAAGUUGGGGGAUCGAAGACGAUCAGAUACCGUCGUAGUCUCAACUAUAAACUAUACCAGCUAGGGAUCGGUCAACGUUUAAUCAUUCGACUUGAUCGGCACCUUAUGAGAAAUCAAAGCAUCUGGGUUCCGGGGGGAGUAUGGUCGCAAGGCUGAAACUUAAAGGAAUUGACGGAAGGGCACCACCAGCCGUGGAGCCUGUGGCUUAAUUUGACUCAACACGGGAAAACUUACCAGGUCCAGACAUAGUAAGGAUUGACAGAUUGAUAGCUCUUUCUUGAUUCUGUGGGUGGCGGUGCAUGGCCGUUCUUAGUUGGUGGAGUGAUUUGUCUGGUUAAUUCCGUUAACGAACGAGACCCCAGCCUGCUAAAUAGCGCGGCUGAGCUUUGCUCGGUGCGAGCUUCUUAGAGGGACUAUGAUGCGCGAUAGCACAUGGAAGUUUGGGGCAAUAACAGGUCUGUGAUGCCCUUAGAUGUUCUGGGCCGCACACGGGCUACACUGGCGCCUGCAACGAGCAUAUCAGCUGGCCCGAGAGGGUCUUGGCUAAUCUUUUGAACCGGCGCCGUGCUUGGGAUUGACCAUUGCAAUUGUUGGUCAUGCAACGAGGAAUGCCUUGUAAACGCGAGUCAUCAGCUCGCAUUGAAUACGUCCCUGCCCUUUGUACACACCGCCCGUCGCUCCUACCGAUGAAUGUUCCGAUGAAAUUUUCGGAGAGCGCCAGAGAACGGGGCUCCGCCUUGCAGAUCUGGAGGCUCAAAGUCACUUAAAUCUGAACAUUUCGAGGAAGGAGAAGUCGUAACAAGGUAGCCG